AUUAGGGCCUAUUUCAGAUUUCGAAAACUAAACCUGGCACUUCUUUCGAGGAUGACGGUGAGGAGGCGGAAGAAGAUAGAGAGGAGGAGGACGAUCAGUGCCACAGUUCGCUACUCCAAGAAAGGAAAAGGGUCCUUCUUGGAUGAUCAGUGAACCCAUGAAGGCCUUUUAUGACUGACAGUGUUCCUUUGAGAAGAACAGGCCAGAGAAGGAUGCAAGGCAGCAUUGCCAGCAGGUGCACAAGGCUGCACAGGUUCUGAACGACCCUGCGUCAUUCCUGGCUCUGACCAACCUGCAGGAAAUCCGGGAGAGGUGGCUAGAGGAUUCCCGGGGGAUUUGGCUCCGGGCACCAUAAGGAACGAUCCGCUCCGGGUUUUAUGGAGAGAGAGAGAGAGAGAGAGAGAGAGAGAGAGAGGGAGAGAUAGAGUACGAGUACCUAUUUUACAUUUUGAAGCAUGUCUUGAAUAGACGAUACCUAUUUUUGUAAUCAACUCCUCUUACAGCAUUUAUUUGACAUCCUUCAGACCUUGUACAGCUGUUAUGAAAGCAUUGUAGAUGUACAUGUGUCUUUUUGGAAGUGAUAAGACAUUCUUUGAAAUAUUUGCAUGUGCAUGAUGUAGUUGAACUUCAUCAUUUCUUAAGCAUGGUACUUACUAUUUGUAACCAACUCCUCUCACAGCUUUUACUUACAUUGUUCAGACCCUGUACAUUAUUGAUGUUAUAAAAUAUUGACGAUAUACAUGUGACAUUUUAAAAAUGCUACUGUUUUUUUUUUUUUUUUUUUUUUGUUUUUUGUUUUUUUUUUUUUUUGGUUAUUUUUUUUUUUUAGAAAUUCUACAUUUAAUAUGUAAUUUUCCAGUAUGUUUUCUACUGCUGUUGAACAUAUUUUAAAGCUACCCGGUCAUUUCUGUUCUUGAAUCAACUUUUUAAAUUUGUAUUUUUGAAUAUGGUAAAAAUUACUUGCUAUGUCAUUGUUUUUUAAAUUAAAUUAAUUGAAUUGUUAUUGUGUUUUUGUAACUACAGUUUAUGUAGGAUCCCUUAAUUUCGAGCAGACAGUGCCGGAAAUGUGCCACAAAGUUGCGGCAAACUGUGUUUCGUAAAAAAAAUAAUAACAAAUCCAUCAACAUAUAGAUUCCAUUUGCAAGAUAUGACCAGAUUUUAAGUCGAAGCAGGCUACUGACAAACAAGUUAGAAGCAGGCUACUGACAGAGAAGUUAAUGUUGCAGGGUAUGAGUUUACAUUUCCUCUCCUUUCGUAACAGUAUGGCAGCCCAUGAACGAACUGCAUUUUCUCCAAUUCAGAAAUGAUGAGCACUUUACUUUUUUAUUUAAGCAGAAUUGAGACUGAAAACAUUAAAGUAGUCUUUAUUCGCAUUAGUCGCAACAGAUACUUUGUUGAAAAAGAUAACUAUGACUAAAAGAAUGUAAAAAAAAAAAUUAAUUGUAAAAUUUGACACAUAGUCAAAAUGGUCUAACCCUAGGGUUAGCAUUUAGAGUAGCGAUACCCACAUAUAGG